CCUACGGGAGGCUGCAGUAGGGAAUAUUGGACAAUGAGCGAAAGCUUGAUCCAGCCAUGCCGCGUGUGCGAUGAAGACCUUAGGGUUGUAAAGCACUUUAGGUUAUGAGAAAAGAUUUGGUAUUAAUACCACCAAAUUUUGAUGUUAAUUUCAGAAUAAGCACCGGCUAAAUCCGUGCCAGCAGCCGCGGUAAUACGGAUGGUGCAAGCGUUAAUCGGAAUUACUGGGCGUAAAGCGCGCGUAGGUGGCCUAUCAAGUUAGAUGUGAAAUCCCGGGGCUUAACCUCGGAACUGCAUCUAAAACUGAUAAGCUAGAGUACUAGAGAGGAAAGUAGAAUUCUUAGUGUAGCGGUGGAAUGCGUAGAUAUUAAGAGGAAUACCAAUGGCGAAGGCAACUUUCUGGAUAGAUACUGACACUGAGGUGCGAAAGCGUGGGGAGCA
rnacentral:rRNA from 1 species